AGAUUGAACGCUGGCGGCAGGCCUAACACAUGCAAGUCGAGCGGCAGCACGGUACUUGUACCUGGUGGCGAGCGGCGGACGGGUGAGUAAUGCCUAGGAAUCUGCCUGGUAGUGGGGGAUAACGCUCGGAAACGGACGCUAAUACCGCAUACGUCCGUACGGGAGAAAG
rnacentral:rRNA from 1 species